rnacentral:rRNA from 1 species
GACGAACGCUGGCGGCGUGCUUAACACAUGCAAGUCGAGCGGUAAGGCCCUUUCGGGGGUACACGAGCGGCGAGCGGGUGAGUAACACGUGGGUGACCUGCCCUUAGCUCUGGGAUAAGCCUGGGAAACUGGGUCUAAUACCGGAUAUGACUCCAUGACGCAUGUUGUGGGGUGGAAAGCCUUGUGCGGCUAGGGAUGGGCCCGCGGCCUAUCAGCUUGUUGGUGGGGUGAGGCCUACCAAGGCGACGACGGGUAGCCGGCCUGAGAGGGCGACCGGCCACACUGGGACUGAGACACGGCCCAGACUCCGUACGGGAGGCAGCAGUGGGGAAUCUUGCGCAAUGGGCGAAAGCCUGACGCAGCGACGCCGCGU